rnacentral:rRNA from 1 species
GGAGGCAGCAGUGGGGGAUAUUGCACAAUGGGGGGAACCCUGAUGCAGCGACGCCGCGUGGGUGAAGGAGUGCUUCGGCAUGUAAAGCCCUAUCGGCAGGGAAGAAGCAAGACGGUACCUGACUAAGAAGCCCCGGCUAACUACGUGCCAGCAGCCGCGGUAAUACGUAGGGGGCGAGCGUUAUCCGGAUUCACUGGGUGUAAAGGGAGCGUAGACGGCCAUGCAAGCCAGGGGUGAAAGCCCGGGGCCCAACCCCGGGACUGCCCUUGGAACUGUGCGGCUAGAGUGCGGGAGGGGCAGGCGGAAUUCCUGGUGUAGCGGUGAAAUGCGUAGAUAUCAGGAGGAACACCGGCGGCGAAGGCGGCCUGCUGGACUGCGACUGACGUUGAGGCUCGAAAGCGUGGGGAGCGAACAGGAUUAGAUACCCUGGUAGUCCACGCCGUAAACGAUGACUACUAGGUGUCGGGGGACGACAGUGCCCCGGUGCCGGCGCAAACGCAAUAAGUAGUCCACCUGGGGAGUACGUCCGCAAGGAUGAAACUCAAAGGAAUUGACGGGGACCCGCACAAGCGGUGGAGCAUGUGGUUUAAUUCGAAGCGACGCGAAGAACCUUACCCGGCCUUGACAUCCCCACGGAUGCAGGGCAAUGCCUGCAGCCCCUCGGGGCGUGGGAGACAGGUGGUGCAUGGUUGUCGUCAGCUCGUGUCGUGAGAUGUUGGGUCAAGUCCCGCAACGAGCGCAACCCCUGCCCCUAGUAGCCAGCACGUAGAGGUGGGCACUCUAGGGGGACUGCCGGGGACAACCCGGAGGAAGGCGGGGACGACGUCAAAUCAUCAUGCCCCUUAUGGCCGGGGCUACACACGUGCUACAAUGGCGCGCACAGAGGGAGGCGAGCGGGCGACCGUGAGCGAAGCCCGGAAAGCGCGCCCCAGUUCGGAUUGCAGCCUGCAACUCGGCUGCAUGAAGCCGGAAUCGCUAGUAAUCGCGGAUCAGAACGCCGCGGUGAAUACGUUCCCGGGUCUUGCACUCACCGCCCGUCA